UGGGGAAUUUUCCGCAAUGGGCGAAAGCCUGACGGAGCAAUACCGCGUGAGGGAAGACGGCUUUUGGGUUGUAAACCUCUUUUCUCUGGGAAGAAGAUCUGACGGUACCAGAGGAAUCAGCAUCGGCUAACUCCGUGCCAGCAGCCGCGGUAAUACGGAGGAUGCAAGCGUUAUCCGGAAUUAUUGGGCGUAAAGGGUCCGCAGGUGGUCGUUCAAGUCUGUUGUCAAAGCGUGGAGCUUAACUCCAUACCGGCAAUGGAAACUGAAUGACUAGAGUACAGUAGGGGUUGCGGGAAUUCCCAGUGUAGCGGUGAAAUGCGUAGAUAUUGGGAAGAACACCAGCGGCGAAAGCGCGCAACUGGGCUGAGACUGACACUGAGGGACGAAAGCUAGGGGAGCGAAAGGGAUUAGAUACCCCUGUAGUC
rnacentral:rRNA from 1 species